rnacentral:rRNA from 1 species
AUUGAACGCUGGCGGCAUGCCUUACACAUGCAAGUCGAACGGUAACAGGUCUUCGGAUGCUGACGAGGGGCGAACGGGUAAGUAAUACAUCGGAACGUGCCUAGUAGUGGGGGAUAACUACUCGAAAGAGUGGCUAAUACCGCAUGAGAUCUACGGAUGAAAGCAGGGGAUCGCAAGACCUUGUGCUACUAGAGCGGCCGAUGGCAGAUUAGGUAGUUGGUGGGAUAAAAGCUUACCAAGCCGACGAUCUGUAGCUGGUCUGAGAGGACGAUCAGCCACACUGGGACGGAGACACGGCCCAGACUCCUACGGGAGGCAGCAGUGGGGAAUUUUGGACAAUGGGCGCAAGCCUGAUCCAGCAAUGCCGCGUGCAGGAUGAAGGCCUUCGGGUUGUAAACUGCUUUUGUACGGAACGAAAAGCCCUGGGUUAAUACCCUGGGGUCAUGACGGUACCGUAAGAAUAAGCACCGGCUAACUACGUGCCAGCCGCCGCCGUAA